rnacentral:rRNA from 2 species
GGCGUGCCUAAUACAUGCAAGUCGAGCGGACAGAAGGGAGCUUGCUCCCGGACGUUAGCGGCGGACGGGUGAGUAACACGUGGGCAACCUGCCCCUUAGACUGGGAUAACUCCGGGAAACCGGAGCUAAUACCGGAUAAUCCCUUUCUCCACCUGGGGAGAGGGUGAAAGAUGGCUUCGGCUAUCUCUAGGGGAUGGGCCCGCGGCGCAUUAUCUAGUUGGUAAGGUAACGGCUUACCAAGGCGACGAUGCGUAGCCCACCUGAGAGGGUGAUCGGCCACACUGGGACUGAGACACGGCCCACACUCCUACGGGAGGCAGCAGUAGGGAAUCUUCCGCAAUGGACGAAAGUCUGACGGAGCACCGCCCCGUGAGUGAGGAAGGCCUUCGGGUCGUAAAGCUCUGUUGUGAGGGAAGAAGCGGUACCGUUCGAAUAGGGCGGUACCUUGACGGUACCUCACCAGAAAGCCACGGCUAACUACGUGCCAGCA